rnacentral:rRNA from 1 species
AUUGAACGCUGGCGGCAUGCCUUACACAUGCAAGUCGAACGGCAGCACGGACUUCGGUCUGGUGGCGAGUGGCGAACGGGUGAGUAAUGUAUCGGAACGUACCUUUCAGUGGGGGAUAACGUAGCGAAAGUUACGCUAAUACCGCAUAUUCUGUGAGCAGGAAAGCAGGGGAUCGCAAGACCUUGCGCUGAUUGAGCGGCCGAUAUCAGAUUAGCCAGUUGGUGGGGUAAAGGCCUACCAAGGCUACGAUCUGUAGCGGGUCUGAGAGGAUGAUCCGCCACACUGGAACUGAGACACGGUCCAGACUCCUACGGGAGGCAGCAGUGGGGAAUUUUGGACAAUGGGGGCAACCCUGAUCCAGCCAUGCCGCGUGAGUGAAGAAGGCCUUCGGGUUGUAAAGCUCUUUCGGCCGGGAAGAAAUCGCAUAGGCUAAUACCCUGUGUGGAUGACGGUACCGGAAUAAGAAGCACCGGCUAACUACGUGCCAGCAGCCGCCGCGGUAA